rnacentral:tRNA from 1 species
ACUUUUAAAGGAAAGCAGAUAUCCGAUGGCCUUAGGAGUCAAGAUCCUUGGUGCA